rnacentral:rRNA from 1 species
UAGUACUGUUUAUGGUAGCAUAGGUAGAGACUUCUUAGAGGGACAUUUCGGGUUUACCGAAAGGAAGUUUGUGGCAAUAACAGGUCUGUGAUGCCCUUAGAUGUUCUGGGCCGCACGCGCGCUACACUGACGACUUCAACAAGUUUUGUGGCAUUGCCAAAUUUCCUUGGCCGGAAGGUCUGGGUAAUCUUUUAAAAGGUCGUCGUGAUGGGGCUAGAUUCUUGCAAUUAUUAAUCUCCAACGAGGAACC